AUGUGAUCGUCUCUCGCAUAUCAAUAAGCGGAGGAAAAGAAGCUAACAAGGAUUCCCCUAGUAACGGCGAGUGAAGCGGGAAGAGCUCAAAUUUGAAAUCUUAAAGGGUUUCCCUUUACGAAUUGUAGUUUAAAGAAGUGUUUUCUGUUGAGGUUUUGGUAAAAGUUCUUUGGAAUAGGACAUCAUAGAGGGUGAGAAUCCCGUAUUUGACCUUUACUUUCAACUUUGUGAUACACUUUCAAAGAGUCGGAUUGUUUGGGAAUGCAGUCCAAAAUGGGUGGUAAAUUUCAUCUAAAGCUAAAUAUUGGCGAGAGACCGAUAGCGAACAAGUACCGUGAGGGAAAGAUGAAAAGAACUUUGAAAAGAGAGUUAAAUCAGUACGUGAAAUUGUCAAAAGGGAAGCGUUUGACACCAGUGUUGUUUUUCUGAAAAUCAAUUAAAGAACUGUUUAUGCUAAGCUUGUUUAGACUUUAUCAGCUAACUGUUUAGUUUUGAGCUUUUCUUUAAUGCACUUUUCAGUUAACAAGUCAACAUCAAUUUCUUUUGCUGUAAAAGAGCUUGAGGAAGGUGGCUUGAGAUUCGUCUUAAGUGUUUAUAGCCUCUUGCCUAUGCAGUCGGAGAGAUUGAGGUCUGCAGCGUAGAUCCUUCGGGGCUAAAUGCAUUUGUGCUAAGUUAUAGCAUUUUAUAGACAACUUGUUGACUAUGAUUUGUCUUGUAGCUUACUCGCUUAUGUUAUUUUACCUACGCUUAGGAUGUUGAUCUGUAGUGCGUGCGC
rnacentral:rRNA from 1 species